UUACUUUUUGUAUAAAUAAAAUCUGAUAAUUUUUAGUUGACUGCACAUUUAUACAUAUAACCAUGGCAAUCAUUUGCGUAGUGAUUAAAAAAUAAAAUCUGGCAUCACAGCUGUGUUUUCAUUCAUCUCUAAUAAAACAAAAUAUAGCAAUUUGUUUAACAUAAAUAAAGGAAAUGUUGGUAUGUUAAAAGAAGUAACCUAAAUUAUUAAAAUAUUGACGUAGUUAGCAGUGACUCCGAAGAAAAGACGUGCUGGCCCAGCACCAGUAAGAAAAAAUAUACCCAAAGAACCAGAAAAAGCUGGUUUAAUGAUCCGAAACUAUGCAAGUGGAUUGUCGAGCUAAAUGAUCAGGAGGUAAAGUGUAAAUACUGCCAUUGUACUUUAAAACCAAAACUAAGCACACUUCUUACUUAUGGAAAAACUUCUAAGCAUUUAGCAGCAGCAUCGCGUUUCACAAAAAACAAUCAAAAUACACUCGAUUUUCACCCACUAAACAGCAAUUCCAAAGUAAAAGCAGCAGAAUUAUUAGAAGCUUUAUAUGUAGCGGUACACACUACGAUAAGGUCAGCCGAUCAUUUGGCAUGACAUUGGGUCGAACAAAGUGUACUGCCCUCAUUAAGUCAGUUUUGGCUCCCCAUUUUCAAAACCUAUUGGCUGAAGAUAUUAGUGACAACUUUUUCAAUCUGAUUAUAGACGAAUCUACAGACAUAACUAUUGAUAAAUAUUUGGGUAUAGUAAUACGUUAUUACAGUAAGUCUGCCAAACAAAUUGUAAACACAUUUUUAAACCUAAGUGCACUUGAUGACACGUCAGCCAAUGGAAUAUGCAAAGCCAUUUUUAAAGUUAUUAAGGAUUUUAAUCUAAAAAUUCAAAACAUGGUGCGCUUAGGAACCGUUGAUGCCAGAGUAAUGACUGGAGUUAACCGUGGAGUGAUAGCAAAACUACGUGAAAAAGAUAAAAACAUAAUACUAGUUCCCUGUAUCUGUCCUUCCAUUCAGCUUUCAGUGUCUUCAGCAUCCAAAAUGCUACCUGAUGAAAUUCAGUAUUUGGUGUCAGAAACUUACAAUUGGUUUUCCAAAUCAACUUUGAGACACAAACAUUAUAAAAGCAUUUACGCUGCGAUCAAUGAGGGCAUGCAACCAUAAAAAUUGGUAAGAGCUUGUUACACUAGAUGGUUGUCAAUUGAAUCAGCUGUAAAUCGUAUAGAAAGUCAAUGGCUAGAGUUGAAAACUCAUUUUGAAAUUGCCGCAACGGUAGAAUCGUGUCAUUAAGCCAAUAUAUUAAAAAAAUUGUACACUGACAAAAAUUUAUUAUAUCUGAAGUUUUUGAAACCUUUGCUGUCAGAUGUACAAAAAGUAAAUAAAAUGUUUGAAAGUAAUAAUGCUGACCUACUCUGUUGCUAUCAGAACUACAUGUUCUUUCGAAAGACCUUUCCUAUCAAAUUGUUUUAAAAUCUGACACUUUUGAUCCGUUUAAUUCGCGCUUAGAAGAUUGUUUGUUCCAACACCAUACUUUAUUUACAACUUUGAAGAAUUUUUAAAAUCAAAGAAAGAUGUAAUCAAUUAUGAAGAAGAAAAUAAAAUAAGAGUUACCGAAAGUUUAUAGCUCAGUUAAUAUAUCAGCUUAGACAACGAUUGCCAGCAAAUUUUCUAAAUCUUUAAAAACGAAAAAAUUUAAAUUGCAUGAACAUUUUGAACAACAAAUGGAAGAUUUCACAGUGGACGAAAUUACUAUUUUAGAAAAGCAAUGGCAAAAGCUAAGUACAUAUGAAUGGGCAAACAAAAACCCAACAAUUGAUUUCUUGAUAAGUGUAUACGAAUAUAAAAAUGCUUUAAAUGAAAACUCGUUCCAAGAAUUGUCUUCUUUUGUUAUGAAGUUUCUAGUUUUACCAUUUAGUUACGCCGAAGUUGAAAGAGUUUUCAGUGGCAUGAACCUUAUAAAAACAAAAAUUAGAAAUAGAAUGAUAUUGAACACUAUGAAUUCACUUCUUUACAUUAGAUGCGGUUUGAAAAGGUUAUGUGAUAAAAACAUGUAUGAUAAUGAUAUUUCGACCGACUCUUCGGAAGUUGAGGAACAAUAUUCAUUUGAUAAUGUAUUUAGUUUAUAAUUAAAAUAUUUAACAAUGUACUGAAAUGCCAUUAAAUAACGAUUUAAAUGUUUAUGUUAUGUUUUUUUAUAUAAAUAUAUAUAUACGUAUGUAUGUAUGUACAAACCAAUAUGAUAUUGAAUUGAAUGAUCACUUUUUCUUUUAUGUUUCUAAGACUUUACGAUUCUUUUUUAUUAAAUAAAUAGUUUUUUUUUGUUGUUUGCCAUGGCUCAACAAUACAUGGUUGAAGUACUA
rnacentral:lncRNA from 1 species